ensembl:lncRNA
GUAGAAUGCUGUCUUUAAACACAAACUAAUUACUUUAUCUUAUGGGCAACCAAAAAAGAGACGUGGAUGAACCCAGAGAUUGACACACUGAGUGAAGCAAGCGAGAAAGAAAACGUUGCACACUAACACGUGCACAUGGAAUCCAGGGAAACGGCACCAGAUGAACUCACUCACGAAGCAGAAUCUGAGACAGACACAGAGAACCCUCCUACGUUUUUAAGUGCACAGUGCAGCAUUGUUAACUGUGGACACAGUAUUGCACAGCAGAACUUUACUUGCGCUCCUCUCUUAUAUCUGAGACUUUAUACCCUAUGAAUAGCAAUUUUCCAUUUCCCCCUCCCCGAGCAGCUGGCAACCAUCAUUCUACUUUCCACGUCUAUAUAUUUGAUUAUUUUAGAAACCUCAUAAAAGUAGAAUCAUACAAUAUCUGUCCUUUUGUGACCAGCUUACUUUAUUUAGUAUAAUGUCCUCCAGACUUAUCCAUGUUAAUGCAUAUGGCAGAAUUCCCUUCUUUUUCAAGGAUAAAUAGUGUUCCUUCGUAUGUUGGUGUAUGUGUGAUCAUAUGAAUGCAC